rnacentral:rRNA from 1 species
UACGUAGGGGGCAAGCGUUGUCCGGAUUUAUUGGGCGUAAAAGGCUUGUAGGUGGCCACGCCAAGUCGGAUGUGAAAUCUCCCGGCUCAACUGGGAGGGGUCAUUCGAUACUGGCGGGCUCGAGGCCGGUAGGGGGAAGUGGAAUUCCCGGUGUAGUGGUGGAAUGCGUAGAUAUCGGGAGGAACACCAGUGGCGAAGGCGGCUUCCUGGGCCGGUUCUGACACUGAGGAGCGAAAGCGUGGGGAGCGAUCCGG